rnacentral:rRNA from 1 species
UACAGAGGUGGCAAGCGUUGUUCGGAAUUACUGGGCGUAAAGGGCGCGUAGGCGGCCUUCUAAGUCAGACGUGAAAUCCCCAGGCUUAACUUGGGAACUGCGUCUGAUACUGGGAGGCUUGAGUGCGGGAGAGGGAUGUGGAAUUCCAGGUGUAGCGGUGAAAUGCGUAGAUAUCUGGAGGAACACCGGUGGCGAAGGCGGCUCGCUGGACCUUUUCUGACGCUGAGGCGCGAAAGCUAGGGGAGCAAACGGG